rnacentral:rRNA from 1 species
CUACUGGGGUAUCUAAUCCUGUUUGCUCCCCAUGCUUUCGCACCUCAGUGUCAGUAUUAGGCCAGAUGGCUGCCUUCGCCAUCGGUAUUCCUCCAGAUCUCUACGCAUUUCACCGCUACACCUGGAAUUCUACCAUCCUCUCCCAUACUCUAGCCAACCAGUAUCGAAUGCAAUUCCCAAGUUAAGCUCGGGGAUUUCACAUUUGACUUAAUUGGCCACCUACGCGCGCUUUACGCCCAGUAAAUCCGAUUAACGCUUGCACCCUCUGUAUUACCGCGGCUGCUGGCAC